ACAUGAGUUGGAUGUGAGGUGACCACCCCACUGAUUUCCAGGCUUGAUUCCAGCUGAUCUGGAUGCCUGAGAGGGUGUAUGUCCCUCCCAAAGCUGCAUACUCCUUCCCCCAAUAAAGGAUGACCAGUCUUUGGUCAAGGGUGUACAAGGAACUGUGCUUCCCUGCUAAAACCUCCAAACAAGCUCUCAGAAUACAUGAGUUUAUGGGGGCAUCUAUUUCAAGCCGCUACACAGAGACAAUGAAUAAUGAUAUAGAAUAUU
rnacentral:snRNA from 1 species